CCUACGGGAGGCAGCAGUGGGGAAUCUUCCACAAUGGACGAAAGCCUGAUGGAGCAACGCCGCGUGAGUGAAGAAGGGUUUCGGAUCGUAAAGCUCUGUUGUUGAGAAGAAUGUAUNUGAUAGUAACUGGUCAGGUAGUGAC
rnacentral:rRNA from 1 species